UUUUGGGAGAUGAGACAAUCCACCCUACCAACAAAAAAGAAUUGCACCUUGAUGGAGACAGUCUUUAUAUCAUUUGAUGGUGUUUCUUUAUGUUGAUGGAGAAGAUGGAUAACAUAAAGAUCACUCAGCUUUAAUGCGUAAAACGAACACGGCCCUCCGACGACGACGAUGACAUAAGCUCGCCUCCCGUCUCCCGAGCCCAACGAGAAUUUAACGACUGCUGGCAAAAGGAUUGCUCUGGCUUUGGUGGAGGAGAAAGAGAGAGAGGAAGAGCCGGUGAGCAUUGCUAACCGACAUCCACCCACACUACUUCGGAGUUAAGGAUCGGAUGCGGUUGCUAUGCAUUCUAAAUGCUGAUGAAUCGUCGUUGCUCAUGCCUAGUGAGUGGAGUGCCUCCAUUUUGGAAUAAGGGAUUUUACUAAGUGCUGCACGUCUGCCCGUUUUUGUCCUCAUUGCCUGGGAUGUGUAAAACCGGGAGGCCUUUUCUGUAAGAAGGUCUGGUUAAUGCACUGUAGUGACUGACUCAAAAUGCUUCUGGAAUCAGCCAAAAGUAAGUCAGAUAAAUUGUUCUGCAAAAACAAUCGAGUGUACAUAUAGUACAGUUACAUUAAGGUAUGGGAGUAAGGGCUUAUACAUUUGAAAUUGGAUUUUUGUAGCAUAAUACAUCAGCAGAUUUUAUGUUCAGAAUAUGUCCCCACCCUUGCUGUAGCAGUCAAGAAGGUAGGCCUAUAUGAUUUAAUGCCUACAUAAAGGAUUGUGCCAAAUGAAUUCGUGCACUUUCCGAAAUUUCUCUUUUAUUGCAAACUUAAGUUUGCAUAACCUCUCCAAUGAGUUCUCUUUUCAAGACUGCUUUAUGUCUCGUCUCUUUUUGCAAUCAAUCCUCAAUCUUGUUUUCCACUUCCAAAUUGAACAUUUCCCUGCACGGGUUAGAACCAAGUCAGGUUGCAUUCCGAUGGAACUCACUCUCUCAACGCUCUGGAAGGAUGUCUGCGUCGGGUGCAAUUACUGUUGAACUUGUAUCAUUUUUCUAUUUGCAUUUCGUCUCUUGUCUACUGGUUUGAGUUCAUUUCGCAUGCAAUGAGUGAUUUUCUCAAAAAUACUUCGAAGUGCGAAAUAAAUUUGUGCAAUUAAGGAGGUGCGUUAGCUCAAUUGGUAGGGCAUUGGUCUCACAAUCCAGUGAGUCGGGUUAGAUUCCAACUUGGUGCGCUAUAGUGCCCUUUGGUAAAGCUUUUAUCCUUAAUACCAGGUCCCUCAGAGAGGAUCCUUGGCUUUCAGUCCUCUGGUUGAUUACUUAUAAGUAUUCACACUGUCUUGGCAAUCAGGUAAAUAUAUGUCAUUACCAUCCACCAUUAUAUAUAAAAAUAAAAGUGAACUGCCUAUUCUAGUAGAAUUUAUACUCCUUAUGUGGCAUCAAAAGAAACGUAGGUUCCCAUUGCAAGUCAAGUGUAAGUCCUCAAAUCAACUGCAAUGGGACGUCGCAGUUUAACUCAAAUCGCUGCAAUUUUUUGUGUUCAAUACAUUUAACUUUCUUGCAUUGCUCCAUUAGUCACAAUUGAUUUAAAUAAAAAAUUGUAUUCUAUGAUGGAUCAUGAUUCUCUUUGUAUCUGAAUAAUACGACUCGUGGAUGACUGAAUGGUCAGCCGGCUAAAGCAUGGUUUUUCACAGGGUCUCUGAAACGUUUGUGAAAGAUGACAUUGAUACCAUGAAAAUUAUGUUUAUUUCUUCGUCCAGAACAGUAAACUCACAGAGAGCGGUUAACAUAAUGCAUUAUGAUUGGAGACAAAGCGAUUAUUGUCGUAUGUCCCCCAAGCUUACACAUCUGCACAAUGUUUCUUCUUCCAGGUUGACAUAAACAUCUCACAAACAUACACUUAUGCCUGAAUGUUUCAUUGGCUAAAGUAAACAAUAAAAGUUUCACGCAAAUUUUUCCAUCAAUUAGAACAUUAUACAGCUGAAGGUGACUGCGCGUUAACACAUGCAACGGUUUAUAGCCUAUACGCACUGAAGAAUUUGACAUCUGUAGAACAUGAAGUAUCUGUUCAGCAGUUAGGAUAACAUUGCUGGAAAGAAUAUAUUAUGUCACGCAGUUUGUUUACAUAGUUGACUACUUAAAGAUGUGUUGUUAACACUGUUAAAAUGCUCAUAGCGGCAUGGACUUAUUAUUAUCAUGCGAACACCUCGACAGUGUCAAUGCACUUGUGUUCAUAUAAUGUGAGGCUUUGAUUCAUGCCAUUAAGAUGCUCAAGUUUACAGUGUGAAGGUGAUUUCUCAUUGUCUUCCACACUGUGGAUACACUGUCUGAUAUUGUACUGUUACGGGUAUUAUGAUAUAUGUCUGAAUGGCCAUUUCCUUAAAUAUGAUGCAUUAUCUUCAAGCUUGGAUAUUUUUGUGUGAAAAUGCACACUAAGCAUCUUGUCCUCUUUUUUUUUCAAGCUCCUCCACCUCAAACCUGACCUGCUCAUUCCUGCAUUGAAGGAAAAGACGCAUCUAUUGAUUUUCCCCCUGCUAUUUCCAUCUCUUUUAUUCCCCUCACGGUGGCUCAACAUGCAUGAAUUUCUCCCUCCGUCUUGGGGGUCCCCUUUCCGAUCUUCAAAAUUUCCACUGCCGUGCACCGAGGAUGACGCAAGUCCCGUUCAUUCGUAUGGAUUCGUAAACAACUCUCUUGGUCGCCUCUUUAAACUGAAAAUCACUAUGAAUAUGUAUUUCCAUUGAUUUCAUUAAAGAAACCAGGGGAAUAAUAAUGGGACCCUAAUCUUCAAAAUUGAGUUGUUUAUGGAUUAAAGAGGCAGUAAAGGAAAGGAGGGG